AUAAUUAGCUUGUCAUUUGACUGCACCUACUGGGAAUUUUCCUUUGGCUCUAAGCUGAUCCCUAUUCUUUCUUCUCACCUCCAUCGGAUGGCCAAGCGAGUACGGCCGGAAUGCACCUAUUAG
rnacentral:rRNA from 1 species